rnacentral:rRNA from 1 species
UGGGGAAUUUUGGACAAUGGACGCAAGUCUGAUCCAGCCAUGCCGCGUGCGGGAAGAAGGCCUUCGGGUUGUAAACCGCUUUUGUCAGGGAAGAAACGAGUUUCUCUAAUACAGAGACUUAAUGACGGUACCUGAAGAAUAAGCACCGGCUAACUACGUGCCAGCAGCCGCGGUAAUACGUAGGGUGCAAGCGUUAAUGGGAAUUACUGGGCGUAAAGCGUGCGCAGGCGGUUAGUUAAGACAGAUGUGAAAUCCCCGGGCUCAACCUGGGACCUGCAUUUGUGACUGCAUAGCUAGAGUACGGCAGAGGGGGAUGGAAUUCCGCGUGUAGCAGUGAAAUGCGUAGAUAUGCGGAGGAACACCGAUGGCGAAGGCAAUCCCCUGGGCCUGUACUGACGCUCAUGCACGAAAGCGUGGGGAGCAAACA